rnacentral:rRNA from 1 species
CACGUAGGGUGCGAGCGUUGUCCGGAAUUAUUGGGCGUAAAGAGCUCGUAGGCGGUGUGUCGCGUCGGCCGUGAAAACCUGCAGCUUAACUGUGGGCUUGCGGUCGAUACGGGCAUCACUGGAGUUCGGCAGGGGAGACUGGAAUUCCUGGUGUAGCGGUGAAAUGCGCAGAUAUCAGGGAGGAACACCGGUGGCGAAGGCGGGUCUCUGGGGCCGAUACUGACGCUGAGGAGCGAAAGCGUGGGGGAGCGAACAGG